rnacentral:rRNA from 1 species
GAUGAACGCUGACAGAAUGCUUAACACAUGCAAGUCAACCUGUGGCUGACGGGUGAGUAACGCGUAAAGAACUUGCCUCACAGUUAGGGACAACAUUUGGAAACGAAUGCUAAUACCUGAUACUGUGAGAGAGCUUGGCAUCCCAUUAGCUAGUUGGAGAGGGAACGGCUCACCAAGGCGAGGCUGGGUAGCCGGCCUGAGAGGGUGAUCGGCCACAAGGGGACUGAGACACGGCCCGUAAGCAUACGGGAGGCAGCGGUGGAGAAUAUGGGACAAUGGACCAAAGUAUGAAGCAGCAAGUCGGUGUGCACAAUGAAGUUGUCGGAAUGUAAAGUGCUUUCAGUUGGGAAGCGGUACCAACAGAAGAAGUGACGGCUAAAUACGUGCCAGCAGCCGCGGUAAUUC